UCGGAUUGUAGUCUGCAACCCGACUACAUGAAGCUGGAAUCGCUAGUAAUCGCGGAUCAGAAUGCCGCGGUGAAUACGUUCCCGGGUCUUGUACACACCGCCCGUCACACCAUGGGAGCCGGGAAUGCCCGAAGUCGGUGACCUAACCUUUAAGGGGGAGCCGCCGAAGGCAGGUCUGGUAACUGGGGUGAAGUCGUAACAAGGUAUC
rnacentral:rRNA from 1 species